GCGAAAGCUAAUUGCAUUUACUUAAAAUUAAAUUUUAAGAGAGUGUCCCUUUUUCUUUUUAUAAAAAAUUGGAUGGCUUUUAAGAGAGUGGUCCCUUUUUAUUUUAAAAAUUUGAAAACCUUUUAAAGAGGGAGGGUCCAUUUUUUAUGUAGUUACUACUUUGUGGUUUAAAAUUCUAGAUAGAAUUAUGAUGAUGACAUUAUCUAUCUAUAAGUCUUGACCAAAAUACGUGCCAGCAGUCGCGGUAAUACGUAAAAGACAAGUGUUAUUCAUCUUUAUUGGGUUUAAAGAGUACCAAGACGGUUAAUAAAGCCCAAAAUACAUGAGCACGGGGGACACAUUAACUAGAGUUAUAUGAAAGGAAGCACUAAAGUACUGUUGAGUGUAGAGAUAAAAUUCUAUCAUACCAGAUAAAGGCACAGAUUUAUGCGAAGGCAUCUUCUUAUGUAAUAACUGACGUUGUAGGACGAAGGCUUUUUAAGUGAAGAGGAUUAGAGACCCUUGUAAUCUAAGCAGAAAAUGAUGAAUGUCAUAGGUUUAAUAUAUUAUUGGGUCUAUAAAUGAAAGUGUAAGCAUUCCACCUCAAGAGUAAUUUGGCAACAUUGGAACUGAAAUCAUUAGACCGUUUCUGAAACCAGUAGUGAAGUAUGUUGUUUAAUUAGAUGAUACACAAAAAACCUUACCACAAUUUGAAUAUAUAUCUUUAAAGAUAUUUACAAGCGUUGCACGGCUGUCUUCAGUUAAUGUCGUGAGAUUGUGGUUAGUUCCAUAAAAUUAACGUAAACCCUCGUUUUAUUUAUAAAUAAAAUUUAGAUCUAUUUCAAG
rnacentral:rRNA from 1 species